rnacentral:lncRNA from 1 species
UAUAAACCAAUAUUUAAUCUCUUUUGGGCAUAAGAACUUGACAUCAAUACAUUCAAAUUUGAAUGACAAAUAUUUUAGCUAAACAAAUUUAAAAAAGAAUCCAAAACGUACGAUUCACAUUACAAUUUUUAUAUUUAAUAUAAGACUUAGCAUGCAUGCCACUAUCUAUUACAAAUUACACUUUAACAUUUGAAAAACAACCUUAAAGGAUCAUCAAGUGAUGUGAUGCUCUCUGAUUUUCAUAGCGACUUCUCGGUAAGUCCAUACCUACACAAUUUAAAUAACUAAUGUGUGAGCUAUAAAUCUCAGUAAAUAAUAAGGAUAAUAAAACUUAUCCUAAGUCUUAAUUAACAAUGAGCCCUUUAAAUGAAACAUCUUAUUAAGUUUGUUUUAAGCUAUGUUUGAUUGUUUAACUAAUUCAUUCAAAUUUACUAAGUUAAGGGCUCCACCUACAACUUAGUCAUGAAUUCAUAUUCAAGUUCCUUAUGGGAGGUUUGUAUCAUUUUAGAACUUAUUUAACAAUCCUUAAGUCUUUGACCAAUGCCAUUUUCAUGUAUUUCAAGCUUCCAAUUAUGGACAAUUGUUCUAAAUGUCUUUCUUCAUUCCAUUCUCAAUUUCUUCCUUAAUGACUUUCAUAAUCUAAUUCUCACCUUAAUAGCACUUAAGGCUUUUAUUUAAACUAUGUUUAUUAGGAUAUAUUAUUAUGUCAUAGUUUUAGUGGCUUAUUUGUAGUAAGUUCUUUAUAGUUGAUAUAGCUUUUUAAUACAUAGUACUUAUUUUCAUGGCCAAACUUAUUAAUCAAAUUUUAACUCUUUAUGACCUCAGUAAGCUUAAAGACAAAGGUCAAAUACAUGUGACUAAUCGAUUAACAUACCACAGUAACAAUAACAUGUCAUAGCGUUAAUGUCCGAAGACUAGAACAAUAUAGUAACAAAACACACCGAAGUGGUAUGCCCAAAAGCUAAACCACAGUCGAAACUCCCCUAUAGGCAUGUCAAUCACACCCUAGCUAACUCACUAAGCUACUAGGAUUUCAUUUUAUUAAUCUAUUUUAUCAAAAGUUUCCGUUUUCAGUAAUUAUCAGUUUCAGUAUAGAUCUCCAUAACUCAUGCCACUAUAACAAAAUUUACUAACAAUUUCAUUUCACAUUUUCUAUCAAUAUCCAUUUCAAUUAUAAACAUGAUUUCUAGUCUUUUGAAGUAUUUUGUUUCAAUUCAUAUCGUUGGUAGACAAUCAUUUGCUAACUCCACAUAUAGGCACUAAAGUGUCAUUCCAUAUACAUUUCGAUACAAAUUUCCAGUGGUUAGUGUUCUUAUCAUAUUAUGAUCAUUUCAAUGUUUUAAACUUGUAUAGACUCUUGUUGACAUUAAGAAAAAUUUUCCACUUUGACAUUUUUUACCGUAGUGGCCUUACCCAAUCUUUCCAUAAUGAUUACACAAUUCAUUCAUAUGCAUACAUAUCCUAUUAAGUUAUAAUUUCUUCCAUGGAAACCUUGGUAACAUUUUCACACAAUUGGAUACAAAGCCUCACAUUUUGCCAUAAAAUUUCACACUAAUAUUAGCACAAUUAAACACUUAUUUAUAACAUCAAUUUCAUAAUCGCUAAGCCUCCUAACUUAAGAGAAUGAUGAGUAUCCAUGAUACUUUAAUAUAUACUCUACAUUGCUUAAUCAAUCUUCCAUGAUCUCCAAUUCGUCCGCUUAAUCAAGCUUGGAACUUCAUAAAACAUUUGCUUAUUUCCAUAAAACAAAAAUACAUUAAAAAUUAAGAUUAAUUGCUUUAAAGCUUUCUCUUAAUAUUUCUUAACAAAUAUCAAGCUAAAAGAGGUGUAGGAAGCCAUUUCUUACCUUAUUGUAACUUUCUCACUCUAGCUUCAAAUUCUCUCUUUAAGCUUCAUAAACCUUAAGUUGAGAAUGAUGAGAUUAAUGGUAGAAAUGAGUUAAGGAGAUUGUUUGUUAAGAGAUUUUAACAAAAUUUGAAAGUGAAAGGUAAAAAUUUUGAAAGAAAGUGAAAUAAUCAACAAGGAAAUGGAGAGGAAAAACGGUAGCCAUGGGGUCAUUUGGC